UGCAGAGUUCAAGUGAAAAAA
rnacentral:piRNA from 1 species